GUCCCCUUAGUCUAGUGGCCUAGGACACCGCACUUUCACGGCGGUAACAGGGAUUCGAGUCCCCUAGGGGACGCCA
rnacentral:tRNA from 1 species